GGUAAUCAGUAGAGGGUUUAUGUACCACUGGAUGUGAAAGAGGUAAUCAGUAGAGGGUUUAUGUACCACCGGAUGUGAACGAGGUAAUCAGUAGAGGGUUUAUGUGCCACUGGAUGUGAACGAGGUAAUCAGUAGAGGGUUUAUGUACCACUGGAUGUGAACGAGGUAAUCAGUAGAGGGUUUAUGUACCACUGGAUGUGAACGAGGUAAUCAGUAGAGGGUUUAUGUACCACUGGAUGUGAACGAGGUAAUCAGUAGAGUGUUUAUGACUCACUGACUCAAAUUAAAUCCUACAUCUGUAUGCGUUGCUUGUCCUGUCACCUCCCAGUGAGUACCAGUCACUCAGCCCCAGGGCCAGGCCUCUUGUCCUGUCACCUCCC
ensembl:lncRNA